rnacentral:piRNA from 1 species
UUCAAGUGCACAUCACUGAUGGACUAUUCGA